CGAGGGGAGUGAAAAAGAACCUGAAACCGUGUACGUACAAGCAGUGGGAGCACGCUUAGGCGUGUGACUGCGUACCUUUUGUAUAAUGGGUCAGCGACUUAUAUUCUGUAGCAAGGUUAACCGAAUAGGGGAGCCGAAGGGAAACCGAGUCUUAACUGGGCGUUAAGUUGCAGGGUAUAGACCCGAAACCCGGUGAUCUAGCCAUGGGCAGGUUGAAGGUUGGGUAACACUAACUGGAGGACCGAACCGACUAAUGUUGAAAAAUUAGCGGAUGACUUGUGGCUGGGGGUGAAAGGCCAAUCAAACCGGGAGAUAGCUGGUUCUCCCCGAAAGCUAUUUAGGUAGCGCCUCGUGAAUUCAUCUCCGGGGGUAGAGCACUGUUUCGGCAAGGGGGUCAUCCCGACUUACCAACCCGAUGCAAACUGCGAAUACCGGAGAAUGUUAUCACGGGAGACACACGGCGGGUGCUAACGUCCGUCGUGAAGAGGGAAACAACCCAGACCGCCAGCUAAGGUCCCAAAGUCAUGGUUAAGUGGGAAACGAUGUGGGAAGGCCCAGACAGCCAGGAUGUUGGCUUAGAAGCAGCCAUCAUUUAAAGAAAGCGUAAUAGCUCACUGGUCGAGUCGGCCUGCGCGGAAGAUGUAACGGGGCUAAACCAUGCACCGAAGCUGCGGCAGCGACACUAUGUGUUGUUGGGUAGGGGAGCGUUCUGUAAGCCUGUGAAGGUGUGCUGUGAGGCAUGCUGGAGGUAUCAGAAGUGCGAAUGCUGACAUAAGUAACGAUAAAGCGGGUGAAAAGCCCGCUCGCCGGAAGACCAAGGGUUCCUGUCCAACGUUAAUCGGGGCAGGGUGAGUCGACCCCUAAGGCGAGGCCGAAAGGCGUAGUCGAUGGGAAACAGGUUAAUAUUCCUGUACUUGGUGUUACUGCGAAGGGGGGACGGAGAAGGCUAUGUUGGCCGGGCGACGGUUGUCCCGGUUUAAGCGUGUAGGCUGGUUUUCCAGGCAAAUCCGGAAAAUCAAGGCUGAGGCGUGAUGACGAGGCACUACGGUGCUGAAGCAACAAAUGCCCUGCUUCCAGGAAAAGCCUCUAAGCAUCAGGUAACAUCAAAUCGUACCCCAAACCGACACAGGUGGUCAGGUAGAGAAUACCAAGGCGCUUGAGAGAACUCGGGUGAAGGAACUAGGCAAAAUGGUGCCGUAACUUCGGGAGAAGGCACGCUGAUAUGUAGGUGAAGUCCCUCGCGGAUGGAGCUGAAAUCAGUCGAAGAUACCAGCUGGCUGCAACUGUUUAUUAAAAACACAGCACUGUGCAAACACGAAAGUGGACGUAUACGGUGUGACGCCUGCCCGGUGCCGGAAGGUUAAUUGAUGGGGUUAGCCGCAAGGCGAAGCUCUUGAUCGAAGCCCCGGUAAACGGCGGCCGUAACUAUAACGGUCCUAAGGUAGCGAAAUUCCUUGUCGGGUAAGUUCCGACCUGCACGAAUGGCGUAAUGAUGGCCAGGCUGUCUCCACCCGAGACUCAGUGAAAUUGAACUCGCUGUGAAGAUGCAGUGUACCCGCGGCAAGACGGAAAGACCCCGUGAACCUUUACUAUAGCUUGACACUGAACAUUGAGCCUUGAUG
rnacentral:rRNA from 1 species